GUUUGUGUGUGUGUGUGUGUGUGUGUGUGUGUGUGUGUGUGUGUGUGUGUGUGUGUGUGUGUGUGUCCCUCCUCCAAACAGGGACGUUGUGAGAGUUGAAUGAGUGAGACAGAGAGAGAGAGGGCAAUUGCACAACACAUCCUUUCUCUCACCAGCUCUUCAUCCCCAUGAUAGACAAAAUAGAAAUGCAUACAUUUGUAAAUGUUAGCUUUGCGCUCAUCACACGAUGGCACCACUAGUUGAUUUCCCCUUAAGCCCCUCCCCAUGGGGAGCCGUCGGUAGACCUGUGAGGACUGGCAGACAGGGCGAAUCAUGAGGGACAUUACUGUGCGUGCAUCAGAGUGAGACUUUGUAUGUGUGAGUUUUCAUGUUCAUUUACUGUUCAUAGAAAUUAGUUAAGACUACAGGUACUCAUUUUGAAUACAUGUGCUUUUUUGUAUGUGUAUGAAUGCACAUUUGUGCCUAAGAACUUGGAUAGGGUGCGUGGCCAUUGAGACAUUAACUCUUUUUUGAGAGCAAGUGUAUUGUGUGUCAGUGCUCAGCACAGUGUAUGUAAAGUAUGUAAGUUUAUAUCGUAAAUGUUUCUAGUUCAGUCUAGGGGUGAUCCAUCGGAAGGUUAGUCCAGUCUGUUUUCCUGGGGUGUGAUCACGUUGCCUUUUGUCAGCUCUCGAACUUGUGAAUGAAAGGUGUCGAGAUUCUGACUCUGAAAAGAAAACAGCAUCUUAAUGUGCAAGUGCACAGAAGGGUGCAUGACAUGUUAGCAUAUUGUGUUACUUAUUCGUUGUUGCAAUUUGAUAAUGACGAGUUUCUUUUUUUAAUGAAAAAUAUAUAUGAAUAUAUACAUUAUAUACAAAGUUUAAAAAGUAUUUGGACUAAGAUAAUGAGCACUUGGGGCUGCUAUUUUUGUUGUGUGUUCUAAUUUUUUUCCUUAAUUUUUAUUUCAUUAUCGCCAUGUGAAGUGUGUAUUAUUUCUUAAGAAAAUAUUGAAUGUAUUCCAAAAAAAUGACAAGAAACCCGUGCUGAUACCAGAUUCUAUUUUUUUUUCCUCAGAAGAUUUCAAAAAUGGAAACAAAAUACAAAAAAGCUUCAGAGAAUUUAGCGAGAACUUUUUUUUAUUUACAGUGGAAAAGAAGAAAAAAAAACCGGGGCUGGAAACAGUUGAACACACUGCCUCUACAAUCCUGGUCGUACAAAUAGUGACUAAGAAUGAAAAGACUCUUUCUAUUCCAUACUGGAGCUUUGGUUGUUUACAAACCACAUGGAUAUCUGUGGGUGCAGUUUUUUGUUAUUUGUUUUAUUUUUGUUCCCACAUGAGACGGGUGGGGUUUGCAAGUGCGCUUCUGCCAUAUGGACAUUGAGUUGUGUUGGGUUUUUUUUUUGAGGAAGAGCGGCAGGUAUCACAAGAACAUGGACACAAUCUUCUGACUGGACCUCUGUGUGUGGUCAUGGAGAAUUGAUGAUCCACCACGGGGGAAAGGGAGGGAAAUCAAGGAUGGGCUUUGUUUGUGGAGUGCAGGGCUGCAAAACCCUAGAGGGAAGAGAAGGUGAUACGUGUACACCUGGUUAGUGCGCUUGUCUCCACCUCAACCCUCAGAAGCACUCACCUGCCCUUACCAACUCACCUAUGCACUUUUGUUCAUUCAAGCUGUGAGGUACAAUGUUGGGGAUGGGAGCACAAUUACAACAGGAGGAUUGCUACGACUUUGACAAAGUCACUGAAAAAAAAAUAUUCCCAAACUGAAAUAAGAGACUCGAGAAAAACGUCUUCUCCCACCUCCUGUAUAUAACCAUAUUUUUGUAUUAUCUUUCGGAGAAGAAAGAAACUUUGCAAAUGGAUGAAGGAAAAAUACAUGCGACGUUGACUAUAUGGAGUGAAUGUUCUUCAAGAAAACCAAUCUUUUUGAGUAUAGUUUGAAAUGGACUCGCUGUGAGUUUCCCUUAGUUUGCCAGUAACCCUGAAAUAAUCGGGGAUGGAAGGGAAAUAAAAAAAAACAAGGACUAAGUUUGUAGGACUUGCUAAAGUGGCUCCGAGACUGACUGAGAGUUACUUAUCAAAACGGAUGCUGCAGUCUCGACAAAAAAGUCCCACCAAGAGUGUUUGAUCAACAUACACGGUGAAGAGGCAGACGUGGGUUUGAAGGUCUUCUCCGAACCUGAUGGCUGCCUCCAGAGCUGUGGAGUUACUGCAGGAGGAACAAUAUUUGGCAAUGGAGUCUGGCUGUGCUUUAUUUGCUGCCCUCUGCCAGGAGGAUCUAAUCUACAGCCAACCCAUGAACCAGUUUACCCUAAACCUUUGAACUUAAACCCUAAGAAACUUUUCUGUCUUGACCUCAGACUUGACAGGCCGCUGGCAUUAUCAGUUGGACAGUUGCAAGAUGAACAGGUUUAUAGGCCGUGGAUCCCAUCUGUGUUGGAAGUGUGAGGAUCGGGACUUGAUCUCCCAUGGAGGAAAAGGAUAAAGAGGCACGUAUUGCCCAGAUGUCAUCACCCCACCUCGGCCUGAAGCUCUCAGGCAGUCGCGUGGAGGUCUUCUAAGCGGCGGGACAGAAGACUCAGAGCUGGAUUGGGAUUUGACGGACGUGGCUGGAUUACAUCAAAGUCACCAGGAAUCCCUGCAGCUGUGGAACUGGAUGAACUGAAAGAAUUGUACAAAAAAAACAACAAAAAAAAAAACUUUGAAACAUUACAAAACACAAUCGAGUAGCUACACGUCACAUAGAUUCUAGUUGCGGACACACUACAUGCACAUGCUACAGAAAAAGCAACACACAGUGGCUCUCCCCUGGAACCACAAACACACAACAGGGCUACACCAACAUUAGAUGACACACACACACAAAUCAUUGCUCAAUAUAAUCGCUGAGCUUUGUAAAUAAUGUAAAAGUUUGUGUUUUUGAUUUUUCUCUCAUAGUGGUUUUGCUUUAUUUCUCUGUUCAACAUGCCUUAAAUUGUAUAGUUCAGCUCUGAACGGCUAACUGAAAAUGUUCUCUAAAAGGUGAAUUUAAGUUGGAAACCGCCUCCUUUAACUGUCCUCUAAAGUCGAAAGAGAGAAAGGAGCUUUCUAAAAGUUUUCUGUUUGUUAACAGGACAGUGUUCUGUAUUAAUUUGAGACAUCUAACCACCAUGAAAGAGACUGUUUUGCUACAGAAAGAGCAAGCACUCUUUGAUUAAUCUGAUUUUGCUGGUGGUUAGCUUGUGUUGCCCUUUUGGUUUCCUUAAAGUUUAGAAUUGAUUUGUUCACAUUUCCUGUUGGAUAAUUGCAAAAAGUGCAGGCUUAAUAAAGGGCUGAAGUCUGUACUGUAUGGAGCUGAGCUGACUGGGGGGAUACACAGAAUUGGCUUAAAACAGAUGUAUUAUUGUGUGAAAUAUUGUUGGAUAUACUGCUCUAGGCCAAACUGAACCAGAGUGACAGGUCUUCUAAGUAGGGGCUUUUUGGUUAUUAUUUGUAUACACUCCGGUUGACUUUAACGUUUUGGAAGCAACCAGAUACUUUUUACAGUUAUGGGAUGUCAAAUCAGUCUUGUGAGAAUCAUGAUUGCAUGAUGUGUAGUAUUUGUGGGUUUUGACCAUGUUUUGAUGCUGAACCUUGACGUGCGUAACAAUUUGUCCCAGAUUGCAGCAGUUUUGUUUGUGCACCGGGGAGUGCUGCUGACUAUAUGAAUGCACUGAAUAGAUAAGAAAUCGGCCAGUCAGUUGUGUGUUAUCCAGAAGGAAAUUCUUGUCCUGAAAAUUUGGAAAGCGUCUUGUUCCAUUUGUGUAUAUCUAUUUGGAUUUGAGAGAUUAAUGCUUUUAGGCGACUAGUUGCUUUUUGUAUCAUUGACAACUAAACACUAUGCCGUUUUUAUUCCAAUUUGCAACUGAGGUUACAUAUGUAAUAAACUUGUACAUCUUUUUAGCUGAGAUGUUGAUGGAUAGCUAACUGUACUAAGUUUAAUGUUGGCUUUAUCAGUUGCCAAAACAAAAAAUUGACUUUAUACUAUCACGUCUGUUGUUUGAGAGUGACUUUAAAAAAUAUCUAUGUUUGAUGUUUUUAAAUGCUGAUAUUGUGUGGUAUUAGUUGUUGGUUGGUCAGCCUGUCUUAAUAGAGUAAAAACAAAGUUAUUUUACUGCACCACAGGUGCUUUUAUGAUUAGAUAAACUGCAAUAUUGUUUCUUCCAAAAGCCCACGAUAUUUAAUUGCAGCCUUUGAAAAGAUUAUGUCACGUCCUGUCCACCUAAAUUGGUAUGAAACCUGGUUCAGUUUAGUUCUGGUAACUGUAAAUCUAACAAUAUGGAUCAAAAAAUAUGUGUUAAGUUAUAUCCCAGUCAGCUCAGCCCCUUGAAUAACAAGUCUUUGAAUGUUGAGAUAACAGCAUAAUGUGAUAAACUGUUUUGGAAAAGAACAACUGAAAGAUGUGUAAAUAGUUUGGCUUUUGUUUGUUUGAAGAACAAAAUAAAUACAAAAUAAAUAGCAUUUAGCAGUCA